GUCUUGUAAUUGGAAUGAUGGUGACCUAAACCCUCACCAGAGUAACAAUUGGAGGGCAAGUCUGGUGCCAGCAGCCGCGGUAAUUCCAGCUCCAAUAGCGUAUAUUAAACUUGUUGCAGUUAAAAAGCUCGUAGUUGAAUUUCUGCGUUAUCGAGUUAUUGACUCUUGUCUUUAAUCGAUUUCGCUUUUGGGAUUUAUCCCUUUUUACUUUGAGAAAAUUAGAGUGUUUCAAGCAGACUUUUGUCUUGAAUACUUCAGCAUGGAAUAAUAGAGUAGGACUUUGGUUCUAUUUUGUUGGUUUUUGAACCUUAGUAAUGGUUAAUAGGAACGGUUGGGGGCAUCGUAUUUAACUGUCAGAGGUGAAAUUCUUAGAUUGUUAAAGGCGAACUACUGCGAAAGCAUUUGCCAAGGACGUUUCCAUUAAUCAAGAACGAAAGUUAGGGGAUCGAAGACGAUCAGAUACCGUCGUAGUCCUAACCAUAAACUA
rnacentral:rRNA from 1 species